rnacentral:rRNA from 1 species
UACAGAGGGUGCAAGCGUUGUUCGGAAUUAUUGGGCGUAAGCGCGUGUAGGCGGCUUUGCAAGUCGGGUGUGAAAUCCCUCGGCUCAACCGAGGAAGUGCGCCCGAAACUGCAGAGCUUGAGUACCGGAGAGGAUGGCGGAAUUCCCGAAGUAGAGGUGAAAUUCGUAGAUAUCGGGAGGAACACCGGUGGCGAAGGCGGCAUCUCGAGCCGUAUAGACGCUGAGAGCGAAAGCGUGGGGAGCAG